AACGGGUGAGUAAUGCGUGACCAACCUGCCCCAUGCUCCAGAAUAGCUCUUGGAAACGGGUGGUAAUGCUGGAUGCUCCAACUUGACGCAUGUCUUGUUGGGAAAGUGUUUAGUGGCAUGGGAUGGGGUCGCGUCCUAUCAACUUGUAGGCGGGGUAAUGGCCCACCUAGGCUUCGACGGGUAGCCGGCCUGAGAGGGCGGACGGCCACAUUGGGACUGAGAUACGGCCCAGACUCCUACGGGAGGCAGCAGCC
rnacentral:rRNA from 1 species